GAUGAACGCUGGCGGCGUGCCUAAUACAUGCAAGUCGAGCGAACAGACGAGGAGCUUGCUCCUCUGACGUUAGCGGCGGACGGGUGAGUAACACGUGGAUAACCUACCUAUAAGACUGGGAUAACUUCGGGAAACCGGAGCUAAUACCGGAUAAUAUAUUGAACCGCAUGGUUCAAUAGUGAAAGACGGUUUUGCUGUCACUUAUAGAUGGAUCCGCGCCGCAUUAGCUAGUUGGUAAGGUAACGGCUUACCAAGGCGACGAUGCGUAGCCGACCUGAGAGGGUGAUCGGCCACACUGGAACUGAGACACGGUCAGACUCCUACGGGAGGCAGCAGUAGGGAAUCUUCCGCAAUGGGCGAAAACCUGACGGAGCAACGCCGCGUGAGUGAUGAAGGUCUUCGGAUCGUAAAACUCUGUUAUUAGGGAAGAACAAAUGUGUAAGUAACUAUGCACGUCUUGACGGUACCUAAUCAGAAAGCCACGGCUAACUACGUG
rnacentral:rRNA from 1 species